AUUGAACGCUGGCGGCAGGCCUAACACAUGCAAGUCGAGCGGAUGAAGGGAGCUUGCUCCUGGAUUAAGCGGCGGACGGGUGAGUAAUGCCUAGGAAUCUGCCUGGUAGUGGGGGAUAACGUCCGGAAACGGGCGCUAAUACCGCAUCCGUCCUGAGGGUGAAGGUGGGGGAUCUUCGGACCUCACGCUAUCAGAUGAGCCUAGGUCGGAUUAGCUAGUUGGUGGGGUAAAGGCCUACCAAGGCGACGAUCCGUAACUGGUCUGAGAGGAUGAUCAGUCACACUGGAACUGAGACACGGUCCAGACUCCUACGGGAGGCAGCAGUGGGGAAUAUUGGACAAUGGGCGAAAGCCUGAUCCAGCCAUGCCGCGUGUGUGAAGAAGGUCUUCGGAUUGUAAAGCACUUUAAGUUGGGAGGAAGGGCAGUAAGUGAAUACCUGGCUGUUUUGACGUUACCAACAGAAUAAGCACCGGCUAACUUCGUG
rnacentral:rRNA from 1 species